UGAGCUACAACAUGCUCACAUCAGUUGUGAACGAGCCAUUCUCAGAUCUGGCAAGACUGAGGAGCCUAAACCUACGUGGAAACAGGAUCAAGACAAUCGAAUCUGGAAUUUUCGCUCCACUGAUAGACCUGAAUGAGCUGCAAAUACAAGAGAACCAGUUGUCGGAAUAUGCUCUGGACCUCUUCAGUGGACUGACAACCGUCACUGUUCUG